CCCACGGGUGGCAGCAGUGGGGAAUAUUGGACAAUGGGCGAAAGCCUGAUCCAGCCAUGCCGCGUGUGUGAAGAAGGCCUUCGGGUUGUAAAGCACUUUCAGUGGGGAAGAAAGCCUUGGGGCUAAUACCCUCGAGGAAGGACAUCACCCACAGAAGAAGCACCGGCUAACUCCGUGCCAGCAGCCGCGGUAAUACGGAGGGUGCGAGCGUUAAUCGGAAUUACUGGGCGUAAAGCGCGCGUAGGCGGUCUGAUAAGCCGGUUGUGAAAGCCCCGGGCUCAACCUGGGAACGGCAUCCGGAACUGUCAGGCUAGAGUGCAGGAGAGGAAGGUAGAAUUCCCGGUGUAGCGGUGAAAUGCGUAGAGAUCGGGAGGAAUACCAGUGGCGAAGGCGGCCUUCUGGACUGACACUGACGCUGAGGUGCGAAAGCGUGGGUAGCAAACAGGAUUAGAUACCCCAGUAGUC
rnacentral:rRNA from 1 species